GGGCGAGUAGCUCAGGGGUGAGAGCAUCCGCCUUACAAGCGGAGGGUCGCAGGUUCGAGUCCUGCCUCGCCCA
rnacentral:tRNA from 7 species